rnacentral:rRNA from 1 species
CCUACGGGUGGCAGCAGUGAGGAAUAUUGGUCAAUGGACGAGAGUCUGAACCAGCCAAGUAGCGUGAAGGAUGACUGCCCUAUGGGUUGUAAACUUCUUUUAUAUAGGAAUAAAGUGCAGCAUGUGUGCCUUUUUGUAUGUACUUUAUGAAUAAGGAUCGGCUAACUCCGUGCCAGCAGCCGCGGUAAUACGGAGGAUCCGAGCGUUAUCCGGAUUUAUUGGGUUUAAAGGGAGCGUAGACGGGUGGUUAAGUCAGUUGUGAAAGUUUGCGGCUCAACCGUAAAAUUGCAGUUGAUACUGGGAGUCUUGAGUGCAGCAGAGGUAGGCGGAAUUCGUGGUGUAGCGGUGAAAUGCUUAGAUAUCACGAAGAACCCCGAUUGCGAAGGCAGCUUACUAGACUGUGACUGACGCUGAUGCUCGAAAGUGUGGGUAUCAAACAGGAUUAGAUACCCGGGUAGUC